UCGUAACAAGGUCUCCGUUGGUGAACCAGCGGAGGGAUCAUUACUGAGUUACCGCUCAUCAACCCUUUGUGAACAUACCUUAACUGUUGCUUCGGCGGGUAGGCGUCCCCUAAAAAGGACGUCUCCCGGCCCUCGCCCGUCCGCGGGUGGGGCGCCCGCCGGAGGAUAACCAAACUCUGAUUUAACGACGUUUCUUCUGAGUGACACAAGCAAAUAAUCAAAACUUUUAACAACGGAUCUCUUGGUUCUGGCAUCGAUGAAGAACGCAGCGAAAUGCGAUAAGUAAUGUGAAUUGCAGAAUUCAGUGAAUCAUCGAAUCUUUGAACGCACAUUGCGCCCGCCAGCAUUCUGGCGGGCAUGCCUGUUCGAGCGUCAUUUCAACCCUCAAGCUCUGCUUGGUGUUGGGGCUCUACGGUUGACGUAGGCCCUUAAAGGUAGUGGCGGACCCUCUCGGAGCCUCCUUUGCGUAGUAACAUUUCGUCUCGCAUUGGGAUUCGGAGGGACUCUAGCCGUAAAACCCCCAAUUUUACUAAGGUUGACCUCGGAUCAGGUAGGAAUACCCGCUGAACUUAAGCAUAUCAA
rnacentral:rRNA from 1 species